CCCUCACCCACUUCUAAAUAAUAAAUUAUAUCGUUAGACCCUCGAUGUGCUAAGCCCCCUUUCACCAAUUUCUCGAUAGAAAAGCUUGUUUGACCUUAAAGGGACACUAUAGUCACCAAGACCCCUUAGCCUCAAUGAAGUGGUCUGGGUGCCAGGUCCCUCAGGUUUUAACCCUUCAGAUGUAAACCUAUGUUUCCAUAGCAGGGUUAAUCCAACCUCUUCCUCACAGCCGCUAGAGGCGCACCUGCAACGCUGGAUGCGAAAUUCCUCCCCCAUCAGCGCCAUGGGAGUGAGACCCUGAGUGUGGGGGCACCCUCAGGGCACUAUAGUGGUCCUUUAAGAAAUGCUUUCCUAUAUACAGUUUGAAUGCAAGUGCGGCACUUGCCGCGCAUGCGCAUUCCACUCCACUUGGGAGCUGACGUCGGCAGGGGAGGAGAGGUCACCGGCGCUGGAUUAAGGUAAGCUGCUGAAAGUGUUUUAACCCCUUCAGCGCCAUGUUUUCCUGACACUAUAGUGAUCCUUUAAAUUUGAAAUUCACCUUGAAGUCUCACCCCCUCCCCCCAAGCAACUAAGCCAUCUAUGCUUUCAGUUUGACUACUCUGGCCUUGAGGGGGUUACUCCAAGCACCAGGAUCAGUAUGUGCAAUGUUUCAUUAUGAAACAAUGCAUGUGCAGAGUUUACCCGUCUGCUACUGGAGUUCCGGUUUUGUUCAAAAUUCUGUGCAAAAUUGGCGCCAGAGAGAUGAACACACACAAACAAAUGUAUGGUUUACAAAACCUACAAUCACUCAUUU